UGGAAAAGCUGGCAAAGAAAUAAGAAAUACAAUGUCUAGAGAAGACCAGUAUUCAUUCUGUAAGGAUCAAUUUUCUUUAAGGAGACUGGCAUUUAGUGAAGCUGCCAUUCUGAAACACCUGUCUUCAGUUCAGCAGGGUCCUGACCUGAGCCUGCUGGAUGAUGUGUGGCAUCAGGGAGGCAACUUUCAGGCUCACAUUUGUCACAAUUAACACUAAAAAUUACUCAUCUGCAGUGCUUUGGUUUCUGUGCUUACUUGCAUAAGUCCUGCACUCACAGCUUUCUUCUAAUUCCAGAGAAGCUACUUACCAUCUAUAUGGUGAUCCUAGAGGAAAAGAGAAUGAGGCCAUCUGUCUAUCCUAUAAAAACAUCGUCAUCCUGGAGCCAGUGGCACCUGUUAUGGCAGAAAUUGUCAUUACUGUACUAGAAGCUGACUUUUAAACAAUGAAGAUUCUUCUCAAAGGUGUAUCAGAGCCUGGAGCAUUGAUGAGACACAUCACUGAUGAUAGUUUGUACUAAAAGUACAGCAGCAAGGAAGUUGAAAUUCCACAAGCUUAAGCACUUGGAUGCUAUUCAUUAUUAUAUGAACAGAGUUCCUCACAGUCUGGAUGUCUUGGGGAUCUCAGAUAUUUACAGACUCAUUCAUCUCUCUGCAGGCAAUUGACCGAAAUUCACCCAGGUCUUUAUUAGUUGAUGCUUGCAAGUGACUCUUGUCCUGGCAGCAUAACUCCCCAGGAACAUUUGGAUGCAUCACAGAAAUUACCAAGAACUGCAUCCUUGCCUGUAAUCCCAAUUAUAGGACUAAGUAGUAAGUGGAUGUGUAGCCUGGAUUAUCCCUUUCCUUUUGGAGGCGGUUCUUGGAGUUAAGGAACAGCUUGGAGGAAGAGGGCUUGAACUCUGUUGAAUCUACAUUUGUUCCUGCCACUUAUUUGCUUGCAAUAAGCACUGCAUUAUUUUUCACAGCACAAGAGUUGAAAUCCUACUCUUGCACUGAAAAUGUAAAUACCAAAGAAAAAUAAAAAGCAGCAGUGGAGAUGGUCUUAAAAGGAUGGAUCUUCAUAAACACUAGUAUUGCUUUAUAUGCCCUUGGUAAGCCAGUUGCUUGUUUCACUGGACUACAGAAAUGUAUGAAGAAUUACUAAAUUAUGCACAACAUCCAUGAAAAUAGGAAUUUUUAUGAAUGUCAUGUAUUAAUCCCUCUGAUCUAGUAGCGCUGUUGCAGCAUAUAAUUAGCAGCUCUAUCAGCAGGAGUCAACAUUUAUCGAAUUACCAUUACAUUAAAACUGGCUUUACGUGCGCAUCUUGUGUAAUCACAGAAGCCAAGUUCUUGCAUAUUGUCAAACAACAAAUCCAGCCUUCCUGUAGAGUGAUCCAACUGACUUCUUUAUGUGCUCCAAGAGUUAAGGGUGACAUGGAGAACCUGGUUAAGGUUAUAUAAGCAUCUGGCCCCAAGCACUCUGCAGUGCUCUCAGUUGCCUAGAUAAGGUGGAAGAGAGUGAAAGCACAUGGAUGUGAUACUGAUGUAAAGCCCUUAGCCCAAAUUAUUAUGGGUCUCCUCACAAGAGCUAUGAGAGAAAAAUAUAAGGGUAAGGAGACUAGAAUGAGAAAAUAGGCAUGUGUCAGUGGAGAGGUAAGUCAUCUGUAGUUCUUAGAGUUUAUUCAGGUACAUAAAAUAUUUUAAUUUCAAGCAAGGACUAGACAGAUUGUUGAUAAAGACUGGUUGUAAUUAUGACUUCCUGCGAAUUAGGACUUUUAAAUUGAAGCUUCUAACUGUGCUACUUGCAGAGCCGUUUGGUCUGUAUCCAAACGUACUGCUGCUGCAGCAAGACAUGGCCUUUCACUGCAGUGAGUGGUCUGAUAGCUUCCCUAAGUUUAAUGUUGCAACAAAAAUUCACUGCUUUUUAGUCUCAUUUGUUACUUGUGAUUAUUAAUGAAGCCUAUAUUAGUAAGGCUGUCUAUACUUAGCAGUCCUCAUAGAACGACAUUAUAAACCUUUCCCUUGUAGAGAUAUGUGACUUCGACAUUAUUUUAAUUAGCAUUUUAAGUACUCUGAUGUUUCCUGCUGAAUGAAUUUGGACGCUUUUCAUACGGUUUGAUACCAUACCCAUGCAGUGCCAAAUUCUGCUCUCGUGUGUCUAACUGCAAGCUCACUGGUGCAAACUGCAUCUUGUUGAAAUGAGACAUUUAAUGAAGUGAAGCAUGUAUUCACCUUGAUUUCCUUACCAGCCGAUGGAGAAAUUUCAGUGGACUAAUAAGACAACGGGAAGAUGCCUAUGUCCCUUAUUGAUGAUUGAGCAUGUCCAGACACUGAAACAGAUUAGCCUCUCCACAGCAUCUUCUCUGCCCUGCCAUACCUGUGAACCUCAACAAUAAAGAUGGCAAAGCUCGCAUUUGGAGGUGUCAAGCUUUUUGACCUCAUGGAGUUUGGAUCAGGCCUGGAGGAUCACAGGGCACAAAAUGAUCUUAACAGAACACUGAGGCAUUCUCGAGUUUAGUGAUAUCACGUCCAUGACAAAAUGAACCAUGACGAUUGUGGGUGCCUCACUGAUCAGUCUUUGUCACAGACAGGUAAAUACUGUGAUUUUCUUGGCAAACUCAAGGUCUUAUCAAUUUCCUCUCAUGACCAGGUGACCUGUAGCCAACACCCACAACAGUGUCACCCAUGUUAGCCUGCCCCUUAAUUCUUACCCAUAAACUCUUGACUCAUUCUUCAUCCACCCCUAGGCAGUGCUCCAUUCCACACAUUCCAAUUGCUCUCUCACAUAAGGAGUAGCUCCACUAUUUUGUCUUGCUGUCCUGUCUUACCUAAAAAGUCCGUAGACAUCUGUGACAGCGCUCCCAUCCCAUGAACUAUGCCACCAUGUCCCUGUAAUUGCAAUGAGGUCAUGGCGCUGUGACCGCACACAGAUCUCUAAUUAUUCCUGUUUAUUCCCUGUGCUGCAUGUGUUGGAGUACAGGCAUUGCAGAGAGGUAAUCAAACAUCCAGACUUCCCAGGAGGGAUGCAAGAGGAUCCACCACAACUAUAUACACCCUUGAGGUGGUUUACCUUCUGGUUCUCAUCUAGGAAGGUAGCUAAGGAAUAUUUGUUGCUGCUCUGGUUGGCCUGGUUUACUCCCCAAAAAGCCACUUUGGAUUAUUCCCCAAAAAUUCCUCAAAGCCAUUUUGGUAAUGUUGUGCUUCUGUCAGACCACUCAAGCUAAUAUAUCCCUAUUCAAAGGGAUGUCUCCAAUAUAAUGUGCUGGGCAUUGUAUGUAAGGGGCUGGAAAACCUGUCUGUGCUGUCACCUUCAAUUCAAUGAUACUAUAGCUGCAAGUGCUCUAUACAUGUAGCCUAUAGCUUUCAUGAAUCCGACUAGAUGGAUAUGUGAAAAUACUUGUACUUUAUUCACCAGUGGUAUCUGGAACUUGUUGAAAUUUUUAUUUUCAUUAAACAUGCAAGAACACUA